rnacentral:lncRNA from 1 species
AAAAAUAUUUGAUGUUUUUUACUGGUAGUUUUAUCUUUGUAAUCAAAUAUUUUGGACGAAUCUUUCUUGAAGCUGUCAGAACAACAUCAACUUAGUUUUUGAAGCAAAGUCAGUUGUAAAGAAACAUUGUCAUCUUAAUAAAAACAAUUAAUGGAAUUACAUUUACAUCUACCUUCUGCCACAGUCAAUAUGAAUAAAUCCACCUUAUUCUGAAACAGUCAUUAAUUGUAAAAUAAUAAUCAUGAUAAACUAUUAAGAUUGUUAUAGUAUGUACUGACACAUUGUGUGUUGUACCGACACAUUGUGGGUUGUACUGACACAUUGUGUGGCAUGUGUUGUACACAUUGUGUAUUCUGAUAGAGAACAUAUUGACACAUUGUGUGUUGUACUGACACAUUGUGUGUUGUGCUGACUCAUUGUGUCUUGUACUGACUCAUUGUGUGUUGUACUGACUCAUUGUGUGUUGUACUGACACAUGUGUUGUACUGAAACAUUGUGUAUUCUGAUAGAGAACAUAUUGACACAUUGUGUGUUGUACUGACACAUUGUGUGUUGU